CACAACACAAGCUACGGUACUAAGUUGGUCGGACACAAACACAAACAUAUAUCUACAGCGGGAAGGAUCGAUCGUUGUCUCAACGUACAACGCUGUUGACCGCACAAUCCACCCGUAAUUUGGCACAAUAAAUAACGUACACAAUAUCAACAGUGACACCGAAAGAGUUUACAAACAUUUAACAGCACUUGUGAUUUUUUUUGAGCGCCCAGCUCUUUAUUUCACACGUUUUACAGGAAAACACAAAGAGCUAAACAGUAACACAACUACACUUGUCACCAGUCACCUGCACAGAUGGUUAUAAUAAACUGGCACUUUUUCAUCAACAACUGGCAUAGCUAUCGGCGCACGGUCGGUGGCCCUAUAGCGAAGGGAAGGGUGCGUUCCAAUCGGCUUGCAGGACACAGAUCGGAUUGGUUAGGACAGCGAUCGGCAUAGUACGGCUCACGACCCGCAUGUGGCUAUUUCAUACAUGUUCUCUUUUGGUUUAUCUAGUUGCCUCUUCAAAUGCAAAUCUACGAACAUGUUUAUAAGAUUUGGCUCUUUCGGUCGCAACGUUUGCCGAGUCGCUGGGGAUAUUAAAUUGUAAGGAAUGAAUAUGCUGUCCGCAGGAACCAGAUGAUGAGAUCACCAAGGAGUUAAUGCGUAGCUUAUCAGGAGGAGGCGAGAAUGGUUUGCUGUUUUAGCACACCUCCCAUGUAUCAUCCAUACCACACCAAAUCAUUAUGGCGCAGCCGUGAACAUGUACAACGUCAUCCUGCUUGGGUUGGAUGGUGACGGUCUCCCGCUCGGUAUAUCUUGAUGGCAGUAUAACGCAA